rnacentral:lncRNA from 1 species
AACUUGUUCGGGUAUCCUUCCCCAGUGUGGAAGCUUUAGUUCUUUUGCUCUUUGCAAUGAAUCUUGCUGCUGCUCACUCUUUGGGUCCACGCUGCGUUUACACUGUGUUUAUGAGCUGUAACACUCACCACAAAGGUCUGCAGCUUCACUCCUGAAGCCAGCAAAGACCACGAACCCACCAGGAAGAAGGAACAACUCCAGACACGCAGCCUUAAGAGCUGUAACACUCACUGCCAAGGUCUUCAGCUUCACUCCUGAGCCAGCCAGACCAUGAACCCACCAGAAGGAAAAAACUCGGAACACAUCCCAACAUCAGAAGGAACAAACUCUGGACAUGCCGCCUUUAAGAACUGUAACAACGCAAGGGUCCGCGGCUUUAUUCUUGAAAUGGAAAGGCAGCUCAACAUCUGAGAAGCCAGUCUUACUCCCUGCAGGCAACAGCUGCUUCCAGAAAACAGCCCUGUAAUUGUCACCAUCAAAUCCAUAUAUUUUCAAGAUUACUUCACCAAAGUACAGUUCCUACAGGAAGAUAAUGAUCUGACCUAACCUACUAUUGGCUGAAGGAAGGAGAAAAGCAGCUGAAGAUGUCUGUUGAGUGAUUACCCUCAUAAUCCGUGACUAAGAACAUCCAAAUCAGCAUGGCUUCUUCCUGUCUGAAAUUAUUACUACUUAGGGUUUUUCACGUGUUAUUUCAUUUAUUGAUUAUUCUGUUUUAAACUUGCAAGACGUAUUGUCUCUUCAGAAAUAAAACUUUAUCACUUGCUU